rnacentral:rRNA from 1 species
GACGAACGCUGGCGGCGUGCCUAAUACAUGCAAGUAGAACGCUGAAGGAGGAGCUUGCUUCUCUGGAUGAGUUGCGAACGGGUGAGUAACGCGUAGGUAACCUGCCUGGUAGCGGGGGAUAACUAUUGGAAACGAUAGCUAAUACCGCAUAAUAGUAGAUGUUGCAUGACAUUUGCUUAAAAGGUGCAAUUGCAUCACUACCAGAUGGACCUGCGUUGUAUUAGCUAGUUGGUGGGGUAACGGCUCACCAAGGCGACGAUACAUAGCCGACCUGAGAGGGUGAUCGGCCACACUGGGACUGAGACACGGCCCAGACUCCUACGGGAGGCAGCAGUAGGGAAUCUUCGGCAAUGGACGGAAGUCUGACCGAGCAACGCCGCGUGAGUGAAGAAGGUUUUCGGAUCGUAAAGCUCUGUUGUAAGAGAAGAACGAGUGUGAGAGUGGAAAGUUCACACUGUGACGGUGUCUUACCAGAAAGGGACGGCUAACUACGUG